ACUCCUACGGGAGGCAGCAGUGGGGAAUAUUGGACAAUGGGGGCAACCCUGAUCCAGCCAUGCCGCGUGUGUGAAGAAGGCCUUCGGGUUGUAAAGCACUUUCAGUAGGGAGGAAAGGUUGUACGUUAAUACCGUGCAGCUGUGACGUUACCUACAGAAGAAGCACCGGCUAACUCCGUGCCAGCAGCCGCGGUAAUACGGAGGGUGCGAGCGUUAAUCGGAAUUACUGGGCGUAAAGCGCAUGCAGGCGGCCUGUUAAGUCAGAUGUGAAAGCCCGGGGCUUAACCUCGGAAUUGCAUUUGAAACUGGCAGGCUAGAGUCUUGUAGAGGGGGUGAGAAUUGAUCA
rnacentral:rRNA from 1 species